AAUGAUCACAACCAAAUACUCCCCAUCUCCACAUUAGAAGAACUAAAUAAAUUUGAUGAAAGACUUGGUCAGGACAGCGAUUUUAAGAAACAUGUGCCCAGCCUUUUUCUCGACUCAGUCGUCGGGGCCCACCAGUCAUUACAGUGUUGGAAUACAUCAAAUAUAUGAAAAGGCCCCGGGGAAUGGAUCGCAAAGCUGUCCAUAACUGGGGGAAACUCUAUUAAAAGAACAGUGUGGCGGGUGUGCGGGAAGGUCUUCGCACCUGAACUAGCCACCCAAUUAAAUUGGUGUGGGAGAGGACAGAAGACUGGCAUCAAGUCAAGACCAGUCAAGGAAAUUAUACUGUUGUCGGUUAUUAGAAAUGGAGUCCUGCCAAACAUUACAGAGGCUGAAGCAGAGAAAGCCAUACAAAAUUGUCUUAGGCUGAGGCAAGACAGAGUCGGAGGGCAGCGGAGGUGGAGACCAGUGGAAGACGCGGAACUGUAGUCAAAGCU